rnacentral:rRNA from 1 species
CACCGCGGUUAUACGAGAGGCUUAAAUUGAUAGUCUUCGGCGUAAAGCGUGAUUAGACUUCACCAAAAAUAGGGCUGAAUUGCAACCCAGCCGUUAUACGCUUCUGUUGCAAAGAAACACACUUACGAAAGUCGCCCUAAUCUAGUUGAACUCACGACCGCUAGGUCA